UCUCUGUUAAUUGAUAUUAUGCAAUUUUGACAAGAUUGGACAACUAUCUACAACAAUAUGGUUGAUUUUCUGGUAUAGUUCUUGUGAUUGAAGACUGAAUUUUCUGCUUUAGUCAUAUCGUUGCUUUUCUGAAACUAUUGUAAUAUAUGUACUUCUACCCAUCAAUUUUAGCUUCAUGAGUAUUAAAAACUAAAAAGACAUGCUAAGUAGCAGCUUGAGUUUCUUCAGGUGUUUCCACUUUGUCAUCAGUUGCAUAUAGGCAUAUUUCAGUUACUGAAAGUUACUGAACCUUAUUAUGUCCAGUAAAUUUGAGAAGCAAAUGCAGCAAGUCCAGUAUAGGCAUAAUAAGGUUGAUUUACUGGACUUGCUGCAAGUAACUUUGAGAAGCAAAUGCAACAUAAUAAGGUACUGGACUUGCUGCAAGUAACUUUGAGAAGCAAAUGCAACAUGAUAAGUGGGAAAGGAAAUCAAAUCUUGCUUACACACAGAAGGAUAUUGAUGUGGUUCGAGCUGAAUGGGCAAAUCAUGUUAUGAAGUUCUAACUUUGGUUCUGUUUAAGGUAGAUGAGUAGCACCAGGAACUGCUUUUGUGCAUUUAUAUAUAACUGAUGGAAAGUGUUGAUGAACCUAAAUUAUGCAUGCAGUUGCUUUGCCUAGCUACUCUUUCUUUACCUUAUAGGUUUUUGACUUAGUGCAAUAUUAGGUAAAUGAUCGAGAUCGAUGAGAUGGUUUUUUGGUUCUCUUGAUCAUUAUGUAACUGUUGGCUAGGUUUAGAGUUGGAACUAUGGAUUGUAUUUUGGAUGAUGUUGAUGCAAUUAAUGAAACGUAGCCAUCAUUUUCAAUGCA